rnacentral:rRNA from 1 species
UACGUAGGGCGCAAGCGUUGUCCGGAAUUAUUGGGCGUAAAGAGCUCGUAGGCGGUCCGUCACGUCCGCUGUGAAAACCCAGGGCUCAACCCUGGGCUUGCAGUGGAUACGGGCAGACUAGAGGUAGGUAGGGGAGAAUGGAAUUCCCGGUGUAGCGGUGAAAUGCGCAGAUAUCAGGAGGAACACCGAUGGCGAAGGCAGUGGUCUGGGCCGGCACUGACGCUGAAUAGCGAAAGCGUGGGUAGCGAACAGG